AUGAAGGCUCUUAGUACUGACCUAGUCUUUAUUUGAACUUUGCUAUCAUCUUAGUGGCUAACCAUGAAGCAAAUACAUAAAUGUUAAGAAGGAUGUCACAAUUGGACUAUAAAAACCAGAGAUCCUAACUCCACCAUGCAACACAAGUCUUAGUUCUAUCCUUUCUUUUCUCUCCAAGAAUCACAAUGAGAAGCUUUUGGAAUUUGGGGAAAUUGCCUCUACUAGCAUUUGCUUUGGCAAUUUGCUUUGUAGCCAGCACUGUUGUUGCUGAUUACUCUUAUGGCUAUACUUCUCCCUCACCUUCUUACACCUCUAAGAAGUACUACAAAUCACCAUCUCCAUCCAACUAUCAUGAACCAACUCCAUACUACAAGAAACCGGAGAAACAUGCUGAACAUUCUCCAUCACACUAUUACAAGUCACCGGUGCCUUCCAAGCACGACUAUUACAAGUCCCCUACUCCUUCAAAGCAUUACUACAAAUCACCAGUAGUAGUGAAGUAUUACAAAUCACCAGUUCCUUCAAAGAAGUACUACUACAAGGCACCUUCCCAUUCAAACAAGUACUACAAGGCCCCUGCUCCUUCAAAGAAGUACUACAAGUCCCUUGCCCCUUCAAAGAACUAUUACAAGUCACCAUCUCCUGCAAAGUACUACAAAUCUCCUUCACCUGCAAAAUACUACAAGUCACCUGCUCCAUCAAAUCACUAUUAUUAUAAGUCACCAUCCCCUACAAAAUACUACAAAUCUCCAUCGCCUGCAAAAUACUACAAGUGGCCUUCACCAUCAAAUCACUAUUACUACAAGUCACCAUCUCCAACAAAAUAUUACAAGUCACCCGCUCCUUCUAAAUACUAUAAAUCUACCCCUUACUACAAGUCCCCUCCACCUCCCCCAUACUACAAAGAAUCUACCCCUUACUACAAGUCCCCUCCACCUCCCCCAUACUACAAAGAAUCUACCCCUUACUACAAGUCCCCUCCACCUCCCCCAUACUACAAAGAAUCUACCCCUUACUACAAGUCCCCUCCACCUCCCCCAUACUACAAAGAAUCUACCCCUUACUACAAGUCCCCUCCACCUCCCCCAUACUACAAAGAAUCUACCCCUUACUACAAGUCCCCUCCACCUCCCCCAUACUACAAAGAAUCUACCCCUUACUACAAGUCCCCUCCACCUCCCCCAUACUACAAAGAAUCUACCCCUUACUACAAGUCCCCUCCACCUCCCCCAUACUACAAAGAAUCUACCCCUUACUACAAGUCCCCUCCACCUCCCCCAUACUACAAAGAAUCUACCCCUUACUACAAGUCCCCUCCACCUCCCCCAUACUACAAAGAAUCUACCCCUUACUACAAGUCCCCUCCACCUCCCCCAUACUACAAAGAAUCUACCCCUUACUACAAGUCCCCUCCACCUCCCCCAUACUACAAAGAAUCUACCCCUUACUACAAGUCCCCUCCACCUCCCCCAUACUACAAAGAAUCUACCCCUUACUACAAGUCCCCUCCACCUCCCCCAUACUACAAAGAAUCUACCCCUUACUACAAGUCCCCUCCACCUCCCCCAUACUACAAAGAAUCUACCCCUUACUACAAGUCCCCUCCACCUCCCCCAUACUACAAAGAAUCUACCCCUUACUACAAGUCCCCUCCACCUCCCCCAUACUACAAAGAAUCUACCCCUUACUACAAGUCCCCUCCACCUCCCCCAUACUACAAAGAAUCUACCCCUUACUACAAGUCCCCUCCACCUCCCCCAUACUACAAAGAAUCUACCCCUUACUACAAGUCCCCUCCACCUCCCCCAUACUACAAAGAAUCUACCCCUUACUACAAGUCCCCUCCACCUCCCCCAUACUACAAAGAAUCUACCCCUUACUACAAGUCCCCUCCACCUCCCCCAUACUACAAAGAAUCUACCCCUUACUACAAGUCCCCUCCACCUCCCCCAUACUACAAAGAAUCUACCCCUUACUACAAGUCCCCUCCACCUCCCCCAUACUACAAAGAAUCUACCCCUUACUACAAGUCCCCUCCACCUCCCCCAUACUACAAAGAAUCUACCCCUUACUACAAGUCCCCUCCACCUCCCCCAUACUACAAAGAAUCUACCCCUUACUACAAGUCCCCUCCACCUCCCCCAUACUACAAAGAAUCUACCCCUUACUACAAGUCCCCUCCACCUCCCCCAUACUACAAAGAAUCUACCCCUUACUACAAGUCCCCUCCACCUCCCCCAUACUACAAAGAAUCUACCCCUUACUACAAGUCCCCUCCACCUCCCCCAUACUACAAAGAAUCUACCCCUUACUACAAGUCCCCUCCACCUCCCCCAUACUACAAAGAAUCUACCCCUUACUACAAGUCCCCUCCACCUCCCCCAUACUACAAAGAAUCUACCCCUUACUACAAGUCCCCUCCACCUCCCCCAUACUACAAAGAAUCUACCCCUUACUACAAGUCCCCUCCACCUCCCCCAUACUACAAAGAAUCUACCCCUUACUACAAGUCCCCUCCACCUCCCCCAUACUACAAAGAAUCUACCCCUUACUACAAGUCCCCUCCACCUCCCCCAUACUACAAAGAAUCUACCCCUUACUACAAGUCCCCUCCACCUCCCCCAUACUACAAAGAAUCUACCCCUUACUACAAGUCCCCUCCACCUCCCCCAUACUACAAAGAAUCUACCCCUUACUACAAGUCCCCUCCACCUCCCCCAUACUACAAAGAAUCUACCCCUUACUACAAGUCCCCUCCACCUCCCCCAUACUACAAAGAAUCUACCCCUUACUACAAGUCCCCUCCACCUCCCCCAUACUACAAAGAAUCUACCCCUUACUACAAGUCCCCUCCACCUCCCCCAUACUACAAAGAAUCUACCCCUUACUACAAGUCCCCUCCACCUCCCCCAUACUACAAAGAAUCUACCCCUUACUACAAGUCCCCUCCACCUCCCCCAUACUACAAAGAAUCUACCCCUUACUACAAGUCCCCUCCACCUCCCCCAUACUACAAAGAAUCUACCCCUUACUACAAGUCCCCUCCACCAUACUGAUAUCAAUCCGACUUAAGUAGGAAAACAUAUUUGAGGCUGAACCAAUAAAGCAGAAUGAAACUGAAGGACAGGUUCUACCCUAAAAUUCAAUUAAUCUUGCAUCAUGUGAUGUUCUCAUUGUUUUGGAUCUUUUAUUGAAAGCAAGUAGAACUAGUUGGAGUCAUUACAAAGAGGAACUGAAUGCCAUGGUAGAACAUGACGUUGUGCCCGUUAGUUGUAGUUGCAUCACAGUUCCUCCCAUCGCUAAGGGAUUCCACCACAAAAUUGACUUCUUGAUAGACAUGGCGAACUUCCGGUAGGCCCAUUGCUCCCAGGUUGAACCUGCAAUUAAAUCCAUACAUUGUAUGUGUAUUCACUGUUUUUUCUUGAACUCCAUGUUUAACAUCUAAUGUUAUGGUGUAGAUAGAGGAAGAAAGAGAAUUUCCCACCCUCUUUUUCUGGUUAUUUUAUUUUAAGAAAAAGUCAACCUUAUACUUAGUAGGAUGCCAUAACUUAGGAAUAUCCUGCCUUUUUAGUGGGUAACCAUGAAGGCUCUUAGUACUAACCUAGUCUUUAUUUGAUCUUUGCUAUCAUCUUAGUGGUUAACCAUGAAGCAAAUACAAAAAUGUUAAGAAGGAUGUCACAAUUGCAGUAUAAAAACCAGAGAUCCUAACUCAACUAUGCAACACAAGUCUUAGUUCUAUCCUUUCUUUUCUCUCCAAGAAGCACAAUGAGAAGCUUUUGGAAUUUGGGGAAAUUGCCUCUACUAGCAUUUGCUUUGGCAAUUUGCUUUGUAGCCAGCACUGUUGUUGCUGAUUACUCUUAUGGCUAUACUUCUCCCUCACCUUCUUACACCGCUAAGAAGUACUACAAAUCACCAUCUCCAUCCAACUAUCACGAACCAACUCCAUACUACAAGAAACCGGAAAAACAUGCUGAAUAUUCUCCGUCACACUAUUACAAGUCACCGGUGCCUUCCAAGCACGACUAUUACAAGUCCCCUACUCCUUCAAAGCAUUACUACAAAUCACCAGUAGUAGUGAAGUAUUACAAAUCACCAGUUCCUUCAAAGAAGUACUACUACAAGGCACCUUCCCAUUCAAACAAGUACUACAAGGCCCCUGCUCCUUCAAAGAAGUACUACAAGUCCCCUGCCCCUUCAAAGAACUAUUACAAGUCACCAUCUCCUGCAAAGUACUACAAAUCUCCUUCACCUGCAAAAUACUACAAGUCACCUGCUCCAUCAAAUCACUAUUAUUAUAAGUCACCAUCCCCUACAAAAUACUACAAAUCUCCAUCGCCUGCAAAAUACUACAAGUGGCCUUCACCAUCAAAUCACUAUUACUACAAGUCACCAUCUCCAACAAAAUAUUACAAGUCACCCGCUCCUUCUAAAUACUAUAAAUCUACCCCUUACUACAAGUCCCCUCCACCUCCCCCAUACUACAAAGAAUCUACCCCUUACUACAAGUCCCCUCCACCUCCCCCAUACUACAAAGAAUCUACCCCUUACUACAAGUCCCCUCCCCCUCCACCAUACUACAAAGAGUCUACCCCUUACUACAAGUCUCCUCCACCUCCCCCAUACUACAAAGAAUCUACCCCUUACUACAAGUCCCCUCCACCUCCCCCAUACUACAAAGAAUCUACCCCUUACUACAAGUCCCCUCCACCUCCCCCAUACUACAAAGAAUCUACCCCUUACUACAAGUCCCCUCCACCUCCCCCAUACUACAAAGAAUCUACCCCUUACUACAAGUCCCCUCCACCUCCCCCAUACUACAAAGAAUCUACCCCUUACUACAAGUCCCCUCCACCUCCCCCAUACUACAAAGAAUCUACCCCUUACUACAAGUCCCCUCCACCUCCCCCAUACUACAAAGAAUCUACCCCUUACUACAAGUCCCCUCCACCUCCCCCAUACUACAAAGAAUCUACCCCUUACUACAAGUCCCCUCCACCUCCCCCAUACUACAAAGAAUCUACCCCUUACUACAAGUCCCCUCCACCUCCCCCAUACUACAAAGAAUCUACUCCUUCCUAUAAAUCACCUCCACCUCCACCAUACUACAAAGAAUCUACUCCUUCCUAUAAAUCCCCUCCCCCUCCCCCCCACCACACCCUCCCCCUCCACCAUACUACAAAGAAUCUACUCCUUCCUAUAAAUCCCCUCCCCCUCCACCAUACUACAAAGAAUCUACUCCUUCCUAUAAAUCCCCUCCCCCUCCACCAUACUACAAAGAAUCUACACCUUCCUAUAAAUCUCCUCCACCCCCAUCAACCUACUAUUAAAAUAGUUACUAAUUCUAUCAUUUCCACCAUUUCCAUGAAUUCUAACUCCUACUUUGAGUAUCUCUAUUUCCUCAGCCAAAAUUUUAUGUAUUCUUCAAGAAGGUUUUGCUUGUUUUGUGUGUUCCUUUCUUUUAAUAAUUUGUAAUAUGCAUUGUUUGAGAUCCUCAAGAUCUCCGUCAGUUUGGUUCAUUGUAUCAAGAUUCUUUUUGAUGUAAUCUCUUGAGAGUUCCACUUUGUGUAAUACUAUCUUCUUCUUUAUCAAAUAUUGUGUUCUCUUAUUGGUUGAGUUCUUGACUUCUUUCAUUGUUCCAUAAGCAUUCACCUUAUGGACAUCUAUGCUAAACUCUUAUAUGAAGAGAAACCACAUCUGAGUAUAGUUUGGUAACUGUACUCAUUAACUUUUGAGAAAGCAAAAUUAUGUACAAUAAACAGAAUAAGAAAGAAAUAAAGAUGCAUUUAAACUAAGAAAAUGCAUCAUUUCGACAAUUCUUUUCUAAGAUAGAGAAGAGGAAAAGGCGACGUAGUCAAGGUUUAUCGACAUUUUUCUCUUUAAAGAUUACUCUUUUCAUUAUUGAUUUUUCCUUCUGCGAAGAUGUAACCAAGUUUCAGAUUUGUUAGAAAAGUAUUCUUAGUCUUAUAGGUUAAAUUAAAAACUAUAUGUGCAACUCCAACAUUAUUGCCUCCAUUAAGUUACUAAUAAAUUAACAAACAAUUCGUACGGAAAUGGGAUCCCAAUAUCAAGAGACAAAAGAUUCUUAUGAGAAAACACAAUUAAACGAGCCUCUACUUGAACCUCCAAGGAUAAAGGUACAUGAACAACCAUUUGAUCUCCAUAAAAAUCGGUAUAGAAUCCCUUGAAAACUAAUGGAUGUAAACAAAUAGCGUCCCUCCACUAAAACAGGCUGGAAUGCCUGUAUGCCUAAUCUAUGCAGAUUGGAUGCUCUAUUCAGCAAUAUAGGAUGUCCCUGCGUAACUUCUUGAUCAGUAAAAAAGAAUAAUCUUCUUAUGUAGUUAUUUUUUUUGAUAAAGGUAACUUUAUAUUCAUGUCAAAACUCAUCAGCAGAGCAUGAUGAGGUGGGAUUUGUAAUCUUCUUAUGUAGUUAUUCAUAAGUUGUUAUCCCCUUACAUCUAACUAUUAAAUAAAUAAGUUUCAUACCCCAAGAACACGAAAAGAAAUAUACUGAUAUCAAUCCGACUUAAGUAGGAAAACAUAUUUGACGAGGAGAAUGUAGAGUCUGAAUAAUGAAGACUUGGGAAAAAUUAAGACAUCAAGAUUUUUCCGAUAGAAGUUCUGGAAACCUCAGUGUAGUUGGCGUUGUUAAUGGAGAAUAUGUGACAUUUGACUCUAAUUUUCUUAGUUGCAAUUUUCUCAAUCUUUAUUCUGUGUUCUGUCAUUUGUAAAGGGGGAUUUAAAGAGUGAAGGUUUAUAUAAAGACAUUUUGGGGUUCAUAAGACUAGUUACAUACUAUUGCACAUGAACUAUUGGGAUGAGCUUGUGCAUUGAACAUUGGGAUCAUCUCAGGUGUACUUCUGGACACUUGAGGUGUAAGUAUCGCGAGACUACUAUCUCUACGUCUGUCCCAAAGUAUCUCAUCUCUAUAUGAGUCCCUGACGAGUCUCGAGUCUGCCUUCCAUCCGUGAUCCUCAGACCAAAAUGUUAUAUAAGGUGUAAUCUGGUAUGAUUAUCCACUGUUCAAUAGUAAAGUCAACUUGUAGAUUCUUCUUCUGGAAUUGCUAUUCUUUUACUUUGCCAAUGGGAUGACAGUUGUGGCAUUCCUCUUCUUAUUUUUCUUUUUUUGUUCCUAAAUUAUUUCUUCAUCAUGAAAUUUUUUUCUAAAAGAAAGAAGUCAUGGAUAAAUGCUUCCCACUAAGUACUGACUUAGUCUUUAUUUUGACUUAGGCAUCAUCUUAGUGGCUAACCAUGAAGCCAUUACAUGACUGUUAAGAAGACUAUCAAUUUGUAGUAUAAAUCUAGAGGUUCCUACUCAACUAUGCAACACAAGUCUUAGUUCUAUCCUCCUCUUCUCCAAGUUUAGUUGGUUGAAAAAGCAAAUGAGAAGCUUUGGAAAUUUGGGGCAAUGGCCUCUACUUGCAUUUGCUUUGGCAAUUUGCUUUGUAGCCAGCACUGUUGUUGCUGACUACUCUUAUGACUAUACUUCUCAUUCACCUUCUUACAAUUCUAAGAAAGACUACAAAUCACCUUCUCCAUACUACAAGAAACCGGAAAAACAUGUUGAACAUUCUCCAUCGCAUUACUAUUACAAGUCGCAUGCUCCUUCAAAACACUACUAUAAGGCACCUGUUAUUGCGAAGUAUUACCAGUCACAUGCUCCUUCAAAGCACUACUACAAGGCACCUAUUGUUACGAAGUAUUACAAGUCACACGCUCCUUCAAAGCACUACUACAAGGCACCUGUUGUUACGAAGUAUUACAAGUCACCUGCUCCUUCGAAACACUACUACAAGGCUCCAGUGGUAGUGAAGUAUUACAAGUCACCAGCUCCUUCAAAGAAUUACUACAAGGCACCUGUCCCUUCAAAGGAGUACUACAAGUCGCCAGCUCCUUCAAAGUACUACUACAAGUCGCCAUCACCUGCAAAGUACUACAAGUCGCCUGCUCCAUCAAAGCACUAUUACUACAAGUCCCCAUCCCCUUCAAAAUAUUACAACUCACCCGCUCCUUCCAAAUACUAUAAAUCACCUGCACCACAAAAAUAUUACAAGUCACCAGUUUACUACAAGUCUCCUCCCCCACCACCAACUUAUUAUGAGAAAUCACCUUCUUACUACAAGUCCCCUCCCCCUCCACCAUACUACAAAGAAUCUACCCCUUACUACAAGUCCCCUCCUCCUCCCCCAUACUACAAAGAAUCUACUCCUUACUACAAGUCCCCUCCACCUCCCCCAUACUACAAAGAAUCUACUCCUUACUACAAGUCCCCUCCACCUCCCCCAUACUACAAAGAAUCUACUCCUUACUACAAGUCCCCUCCACCUCCCCCAUACUA
rnacentral:lncRNA from 1 species